rnacentral:lncRNA from 1 species
AACAAGUGCACCGAGCUGUAGAAUGCACAAAUGGCAAACAUUAAAGGGGAGGUCCAGAAAGUUGAAUGGAGUGCAGGGGAGUUUCUGAAGUGACUGAAGGUGGGAAUAAGAGGCUCAGGAUGAAAAUGAUCAUCUGGGGACCGUGGGGAGUGGUUAAAACCGGGAAAUGAACCGAGUGGUGAGAGAUAUGGGCAGCCUAGAAAGAGGCUAAACUGUCACAGACUUUAAGUACACAGUGCAACAAACUCAGGGGCUCAGCUUUUUAAAGCACAGGUCCAUGUUUGAUCAAGGAGACUCAAAACUUCUUCCCAUUCAUUUUAUUCUGAAUACUUGUUUGAUUAAGUCUUUCAGAAUGUUUCUAUGGGGGCUGUUUCAGUUAACAAAGCAGAGAAAACCAGAAACCUGUCUAAAACACUAAUUUUUAAAGAGUGAUCUCAAUGUUGUUUUUUUUUUCCAGAUACUCCUCGCACAAGAAGGUUUGUAGAAAUAUAGAACUUUUAACAACGGAUAACUAUGAGAAGGCCCAACCCAGAAGUUUCCUGUAGAUUAAGAGAAAAGAAAAACAAAAAUAUAGGCAAUCUUGGAGGCCCAAGAUUUGCCCAGUAAUAAACAAUUUUUCUGGAAAACUGGAAACAAGGUUUAUUUCACCUCAGUCAGGCUGUUAGCCAGUAUUUUUGUUGGACUCAAGUUCUUAAAGAUUCAAAUGUUUCCUAUUCUCAACCUCUGGCUUACAGAUAAAUACUUAACGGUUUUUAUCUGGGGGCUGGCCCUACUUGAUAAGGACUUAUAAAACUGUACUAAAAAAUAUGUUUAAACAAAUCUUUCCCGUGACAGUAGCAGUCUUUUCCUCCAUGAGGAAAUCUGGCUCUUAGAGCUGAUCUGCAGGAAUUCGCUGCCAAAUAAGAGAUCUGCGGGCUGUGGGUUUGCCCAGGACGCUAACGGUGCUAACUGCUGUACACCCUUAGGAGCACCUUUCAGACCCCAGGGCAUCGAACAAGGCACAAUUUCAUCUUCCAUUUCAUUCCACUGCCAUUUCAUAAUUUAGAAAUUAAGGAACAAAAAAGUUAAAUAGCUUGCUCAGGGCAUAAAGUAAGUCCAAGUCAAGGUUUAAGCUUUUAAACUGAAGCCUGUCCGGCUGCACACCCCUUUUCCUCAGAGAUGGGCUCUCACUGGUGGCUUGGUAAGGCAGCUAUUUUUUUCAUUGCGUUUUUAAAGGGGAUAUUGUUUUUGUUUGUUUUUUGAGACAGAGUCUCGCUCUGUCACCCAGGCUGGGGUACAGUGGCGUGAUCUUAGCUCACUGCACCCUCCACCUCCCAGGUUCAAGUGAUUCUCCUGCCUCAGCCUCCCGAGUAGCUGGGACUACAGGAAUGACUACGCCCGACUAAUUUUUGUAUUUUUAGUAGAGAUGGGGUUUCACUAUGUUGGCCAGGCUGGUCUCAAACUCCUGAUCUCAAGUGAUCACCCACCUCAGCCUCUCAAAGUGCUGGGAUUACAGGCAUGAGCCACCACACCCGGCCUGUUUUCAUCAUUGUUUUUAAUGCAACUUUUAGGAUGCUUCUGAUUUUCCUAAUUUUAUUGAGGAAUAAUUAAUAGAAAUUAUACGUAUUCAAAGUAUACAAUGUGAUUAUUUGAUAUAAAUAUAGAUUGCAUAUUGAUUCCCAUAAUCAAAUUAAUCAACACAUCUGUCAUCACACAUAGUUACCCUCUGCAUGGAGAGGGAAAAGACUAAGGACGCUCCCUAAUCUCCAGAACAUAUUCAUCUUAUAAAUGAAAGCUUGUACCCUUUGACCAGCAUCUCACCGUUUCUCCCAUGCCCCAGACCCUGACAAUCACCAUUCUACUCUUGGCUUGUGGAUUCAACGUUUUUAUAUUCUACAUAUAACUGAGAUCAUACAGUAUUUGUUUUUCUGUGUCUGGAUUAUUCCACUUAGCAUAAUGUCCUCCAGGUUCAUCCAUGUUGUUGCAAAUGGCAGGCUUUCCUUAUUUUUAUGGCUAAAUAUUAUUCUAUCCUGUAUAUAUAUACCACAUUUUCUUUAACCAUUCCUAAGAUAAAUGGCACUUGGGUUGUUUCCAUAUCUUUGCUAUUGUGAGUAAUGCUGAAAUAAAUAUGGAAGUGAAGAUAUCUCUUUGACAUACUAAUUUGAUGUCUUUUAAACAUAUAUCCACAAGUGGGACUGCUGGAUCAUAUAGUUGAUUUUUACAAAACUUCCAUACCAAUGUCCAUAAUGGCUGUACCAAUUUUCACCCUAAUAGCGUACAAGGGUUCCCUUUCCUCCAUAUCCUUGUCAAAACUUGUUAUAUUUUGUCUUUUUGAUAACAGGCAUCCUAACAAAUGUGAGAUAAUAUCUCAUUGUGGUUUUGAUUUGCAUUUCUCUAAUGAUUAGUGAUGUCAAGCACCAUUUUUCUUUUUUUUUUCUUUUUCUUUUUUUUUUUUGAGACACAAUCUCACUCUGUUGCCCAGGCUGGAGGGCAGUGGCAUGAUCUUGGCUCAAUGCAGUCUCGACCUCUUCGGGUUCAGGUGAUCCUCCUGCCUCAGCCUCCUCACCUCAGUCUAAUGGGUAACUGAGACUAUAGGUGCAUGCCACCACGCCUAGCUAAUUUUUGUAUUUCUUGUAGAGACAGGGGUUCACCAUGUUGUCCAGGUUGGUCUGGAACUCCUGGACUCAAGCAAUCCACCUGCCUCGGCUUCCCAAAAUGGUGAGAUUACAGGCAUGAGCCACCGUACCUGGCAAGCAUCUUUUCAUUUACCUGUUGGCUAUUUGUGUGUCUUCUUUGGAAAAGUGUCUAUUAAGGUCCUUUGCCCCACCUCCACUUUUUUUUUUAUUUUAGUAUUGAGUUGUACGAGUUUCUCGUAUAUUAUGGACAUUGACCUUUUACCAGAUAUAUGGUUUGUAGACAUUCUCUCCCAGCCUGUAUGUUACCUUUUCAUUUUGUUGGUUGUUUCCUUUGCCGUGCAGAAGCUUUUUGGCUUGAUGUAGUCCCACUUGUAUGUUUUUGCUUUUGUUGCCUGUGCUUUGAGGUAACAGCAACAAAAUCAUUGCCAAGGCCAAUGUCAAGAAGCUUUUUUCCCCUGUGUUUUCUUCUAGAAAUUAUAUGGUUUCAGGCCUUACCAUUAAGUCUUUCUUUUCUUUUUUUUUGAGAUGGAGUCUCGGUCUGUCACCCAGGCUGGAGUGCAAUGGCAUGAUCUCAGCUCACUGCAACCUCCGCCUCCCAGGUUCAAGCCAUUCUCCUGCCUCAGCCUCCCGAUUAGCUGGGAUUACAGGUGCUGCCACCACGCCUGGCUCAUUUUUUGUAUUUUUAGUAAAGAUGGGGUUUCACUAUGUUGGCCAGGCUGGUCUCAAACUCCUGACCUUGUGAUCCGCCAGCCUCAGCCUCCCAAAGUGCUGGGAUUACAGGCAUGAGCCACUGCACCCGGCCUCUUACAGUUAAGUCUUAAUCCAUUUCAAGUUGAUUUUUGUAUAUGGUGUUAAGGGUCCAAUUUUAUUUUUUGGCAGGUGGAUAUCCAGUUUUCCCAACAGUAUUCUUCGAAGAGACUGUCCUUUCCCCCAUUGCGUAUUCUUGGCACCCUUGUCAGGAUGCUUCUAUGCAAUCCUCCAGAGGCUUCGGCAGCACCAGGGCUCCCCAGAACAAACCAAAGCCCUUUGGUGGAGCAUUUGGAUUUCAUCUCCCAUCUGGACUGUACCCCUUCCACCGGCGAGGGCAAAGUUCACAUGUGAAGUCUACAGAGUAAGAUGCCAUGAUGGGUAAUGUGGGGAUUCAGGAACAAGCGAGUGAGUAAGCAGGGCUGGAAACUGAGAUUUGAGCUGCGUUUGUGGUAGGCUCUGCUUACGAGAUGGGAGGGCAACCCAUGCUCUUGCUGAGAGCGAAGGAAAGAGGAACUCACCACUGGCUGGAGGAAUGUCCACUCGUCAUGGGAAGGCAGAAAUGGAUUAUCAAGUUUCAGACUUAGAAAACAAAGAAAAACUCUAAUUGCGGACAUUCCUUGCAGUUUAAGAUCAGGGUAAAUAUACCAAUACAAAAUUACUGGGGUCAAAGGCUUUUGUAUGUGUGGUUUUUUCCCGCAGUAAUGGGUCACUUGAUCAGAAAUCCCUGUGUGAACUCACUUUUUUUUGGUAAUGAUGACAUGAGAAUUUCCACACUUGCCAAGUCAGUAUUACGUGGAACUGAAACCAGACUCAGUGCAUAUGAAGACUUUGCUCACACUUGUUUUUACUACAGUCAGCAAUGCUUCAUAAGGCCAAAUUUAAUGAUGUAAUUUUGGCAGAGCUAAUAUAAAUAGCUCAAAAUUAUUAAUUUACUUUUGGUUGCAAUUAUUAACCAAUAUGUAUGUUAUGUGAUAGCUAUCAGUUUUCUAUUUACCUUUAUUAGGUGAGGCCCCAAAGAAAAAUUUUUAGCUAAAUAUAUUAGGUUCUCCAAAGGGUCAGGAAAGGAGCCUGAAAACAGAGAAGAGACUGAAUUGAAUAGCUUAGAUUUCUAGUACUGGGCAUUCUGAAAGCGUUUUGGCAAUUUAUCCCCUAAAAAAGAAUUUAGAUCAGAUGGGAGAUAAUAAAUUAGAGAAUUUGAUUCAAGAGGCUUAACUCUGGUUAAUCAAAUGAUGACUAAUUUCCAAUCUGGAAUUUGAUCAAUUAGUAAACUGGUACCCCAAAAUUGGUUAAGAGUAAAAUUGUUAAGAGGGCUGUAGUCAUUUUUAAAAGAGAUGUUAUUUCUUAUUCCCAAUCAAAUCUUAUAUUGCUGAAUUCUAUUAUGCUCCAAUAUUAAAUUUUUAAAAGUUGGCUUUUUAAAAAUUGGUUUUUAAAAUUGGUUUUUGAAAAUUUAAAAAGUUGGUUUUUAAAAAUUUUUUUAAUUUUUAAAAGUUGGCUCACGCCUGUAAUCCCAGCACUCUGGGAAGCCAAGGCAGCUGGAUCAUGAGGUCAGGCAUUUGAGACCAGCCUGGCCAACAUAGUGAAACCCCAUCUCUACUAAAAAAAUACCAAAAAAUUAGCCGGGUGUGGUGGCAGGCGCCCGUAAUCCCAGCUACUCAGGAGGCAGAGGCAGGAGAAUCGCUUGAACCUGGGAGGUGUAGGUUGCCGUGAGCCGAAAUCACGCCAUUCAUUGUUCUCCAGCCCGGGUGACAGUGCGAG